UACGUAGGGCGCGAGCGUUGUCCGGAAUUAUUGGGCGUAAAGAGCUCGUAGGCGGUCUGUCGCGUCGGAUGUGAAAACCCAGGGCUCAACCCUGGGCCUGCAUUCGAUACGGGCAGACUAGAGUAUGGCAGGGGAGACUGGAAUUCCUGGUGUAGCGGUGAAAUGCGCAGAUAUCAGGAGGAACACCGGUGGCGAAGGCGGGUCUCUGGGCCAAAACUGACGCUGAGGAGCGAAAGCGUGGGGAGCGAACAGG
rnacentral:rRNA from 1 species